CCUACGGGAGGCAGCAGUGAGGAAUAUUGGUCAAUGGGCGGGAGCCUGAACCAGCCAAGUCGCGUGAGGGAAGACGGUCCUAUGGAUUGUAAACCUCUUUUGUCGGGGAGCAAAGAGACCACGUGUGGUCAAAAGCGAGAGUACCCGAAGAAAAAGCAUCGACUAACUCCGUGCCAGCAGCCGCGGUAAUACGGAGGAUGCGAGCGUUAUCCGGAUUUAUUGGGUUUAAAGGGUGCGUAGGCGGAAUGCCAAGUCAGCGGUAAAAUCGCGGGGCUCAACCUCGCUCCGCCGUUGAAACUGGCGUU
rnacentral:rRNA from 1 species